GACAGAGGGUGCAAACGUUGUUCGGAAUUACUGGGCGUAAAGGGCUCGUAGGCGGCCAACUAAGUCAGACGUGAAAUCCCUCAGCUUAACUGGGGAACUGCGUCUGAUACUGGAUGGCUUGGAUUCGGGAGAGGAAUGCGGAAUUCCAGGUGUAGCGGUGAAAUGCAUAGAUACCUUGCAGAACUCCGAUUGCGAAGGCAGUCCGCUAGGCUUUAACCGACGCUCAGGCACGAAAGCGUGGGGAGCAAACAGG
rnacentral:rRNA from 1 species